GAUGAACGCUGGCGGCGUGCUUAACACAUGCAAGUCGAACGUGAAGGCAAUAGUAAUAUUGCCGGAAAGUGGCAAACGGGUGAGUAACACGUAGAUACCUGCCUCGCAGUGGGGGAUAACCACGGGAAACUGUGGCUAAUACCGCAUGGUCUUGGUUAAGCGGGAGCUUGACCAAGUAAAGCUUUAGGUGCUGCGAGAGGGGUCUGCGCCCGAUUAGCUGGUUGGUGAGGUAACGGCUCACCAAGGCUAUGAUCGGUAGCUGGUCUGAGAGGACGAUCAGCCACACGGGAACUGAGACACGGUCCCGACUCCUACGGGGGGCAGCAGUGAGGAAUAUUGGGCAAUGGACGCAAGUCUGACCCAGCAACGCCGCGU
rnacentral:rRNA from 1 species